rnacentral:rRNA from 1 species
UACAGAGGUCCCAAGCGUUGUUCGGAUUCACUGGGCGUAAAGGGUGCGUAGGUGGUAGGGUAAGUCUGAUGUGAAAUCUCCGAGCCUAACUCGGAAACUGCAUCGGAUACUAUCUUGCUCGAGGAAUGGAGGGGAGACUGGAAUACUUGGUGUAGCAGUGAAAUGCGUAGAUAUCAAGUGGAACACCAGUGGCGAAGGCGAGUCUCUAGACAUUUCCUGACACUGAGGCACGAAAGCCAGGGGAGCAAACGGG